CCCAGACUCCUACGGGAGGCAGCAGUGGGGAAUAUUGGGCAAUGGAGGAAACUCUGACCCAGCAACGCCGCGUGAAUGAUGAAGGUCUUCGGAUUGUAAAGUUCUUUUCUAAGGGAAGAAGAAAGUGACGGUACCUUAGGAAUAAGCCUCGGCUAACUACGUGCCAGCAGCCGCGGUAAUACGUAGGAGGCAAGCGUUAUCCGGAAUGACUGGGCGUAAAGGGUGCGUAGGUGGUUUGACAAGUUGGUAGCGUAACUCCGGGGCUCAACCUCGGCACUACUACCAAAACUGCCAAACUUGAGUGCAGGAGGGGUAAGUGGAAUUCCUAGUGUAGCGGUGAAAUGCGUAGAUAUUAGGAGGAACACCAGUGGCGAAGGCGGCUUACUGGACUGUAACUGACGUUGAGGCUCGAAAGCGUGGGGAGCAAACAGGAUUAGAUACCCUAGUAC
rnacentral:rRNA from 1 species